AGCGAAUAGAUACCCAGGUAGUCCACGCUGUAAACGAUGACGACUAGGUGUGGGGGGGUUCAGUCCCUUCCGUGCCGCAGCUAAACGCAUUAAGUCGUCCGCCUGGGGAGUACGGCCGCAAGGUUGAAACUCAAAGGAAUUGACGGGGGCCCGGCACAAGCGGUGGAGCAUGUGGUUCAAUUCGAUGCAGAGCGAAGAACCUUACCUGGGCUUGACAUGCAGGAAGUAGAAACCGGAAACGGGGACGACCUGUUAAGUCAGGAACCUGCACAGGUGGUGCAUGGCUGUCGUCAGCUCGUGCCGUGAGUGUUGGGUUAAGUCCCGCAACGAGCGCAACCCUCACUCUAUGUUGCCAUCGGGUAAUGCCGGGCACUCUUAGGGAACUGCCGGCGAAGAGCUGGAGGAAGGGGGGGUAUGACGUCAAGUCCGUAUGCCCCUUAUGUCCAGGGCUACACACAUGCUACAAUGGCCGAUACAGAGGGUUCCCAACCCGCAAGGGGUA
rnacentral:rRNA from 1 species